UACGGGGGGGGUAAGCGUUGUUCGGAAUUACUGGGCGUAAAGGGCUCGUAGGCGGCCAACUAAGUCGGAUGUGAAAUCCCCAGGCUCAACCUGGGAACUGCAUCCGAUACUGGAUGGCUUGAAUUCGGGAGAGGGAUGCAGAAUUCCAGGUGUAGCGGUGAAAUGCGUAGAUAUCUGGAGGAAUACCGGUGGCGAAGGCGGCAUCCUGGACCGACAUUGACGCUGAGGAGCGAAAGCUAGGGGAGCGAACGGG
rnacentral:rRNA from 1 species